rnacentral:rRNA from 1 species
UACGGGGGGGGCAAGCGUUGUUCGGAAUUACUGGGCGUAAAGGGCUCGUAGGCGGCCAACUAAGUCGGAUGUGAAAUCCCCAGGCUUAACCUGGGAACUGCAUCCGAUACUGGAUGGCUUGAAUCCGGGAGAGGGAUGCAGAAUUCCAGGUGUAGCGGUGAAAUGCGUAGAUAUCUGGAGGAACACCGAUGGCGAAGGCAGCCCCCUGGGCUAACACUGACGCUCAUGCACGAAAGCGUGGGGAGCAAACAGG